CCUACGGGAGGCAGCAGUGAGGAAUAUUGGUCAAUGGACGAGAGUCUGAACCAGCCAAGUAGCGUGAAGGAUGACUGCCCUCUGGGUUGUAAACUUCUUUUAUAUGGGAAUAAAAUGUUCCACGUGUGGGAUUUUGUAUGUACCAUAUGAAUAAGGAUCGGCUAACUCUGUUCCAGCAGCCGCGGUAAGACGGAGGCUCCGAUCGGUAGCCUGGUUUAUUGGGUUUAAAGGGAGCGUAGGUGGAUGGUUAAGUCAGUUGUGAAAGUUUGCGGCUCAACCGUAAAAUUGCAGUUGAAACUGGCAGUCUUGAGUACAGUAGAGGUGGGCGGAAUUCGUGGUGUAGCGGUGAAAUGCUUAGAUAUCACGAAGAACUCCGAUUGCGAAGGCAGCUCACUGGACUGCAACUGACACUGAGGCUCGAAAGUGUGGGGAUCAAACAGGAUUAGAUACCCCGGUAGUC
rnacentral:rRNA from 1 species